CUCUUCUUCUGAUCCUUCCUAUUAACCACUUUUUCUGAGUUGUAGUUAACAAUCUGUGUCUUGUACUGUGAGGUGCUUUGAUAGUCAAUCUGGUUUUGUCAGUACCAUGUUCCAUCUUGAGAAACAGCUGGGUGUUGACAGCUAUCAGCCUUUAUUUCUUUUUCCGGUCAUCUUCUGUCUGGAGACAUAAUAACAAUGUCCAGAAUUAGCAUAGCACUUCUUUUCAGCAUAAGAAGGCUGUUUGCAGUAGUCACUCAAUGAUAAACUAUAUGGCAAAGUCUUUUCUUGCAUCACCUUCAUAGGUGCAUCCAAAGUCUUUCAUAAGCAUCUUUC